AUGCCAUGGUGGUUGCGCCCUCAAGCUCCAGCACAAGUCCCGCCUUCCCGCGCCGCGUUGCAGCCCGCGUUCCUCUGCUCCGACCGCACACCUCGCGCCGCAGCCCGAGUUCCUCUGCUCCGACCACACCCGACACCCGCGUCGGUGACCCCUUCGGCCCUCGCCAUGCCGACAACCACCAAGAACCCCGCCACCUCCUCGCAUUCUCUUGCUGCUCGUCGCCAGGAGCGCCGCCACCCUCCUAGGAGCCCUGUCGCCGUUCCCCUGGGACCCUUGCUCGAUUACUUGGCUUCGAGGAGCCCCGUCGCUGUUCCCCUAGGACCCUCGCUCGAUUACUUGGCUUCUGUAGAAUGGACCCCGGCGACAAGCGGCGGUGAGUGGCCGGCGGUGGAGUCUGGGAAUGGAUAA
rnacentral:rRNA from 1 species